rnacentral:lncRNA from 10 species
CCGGGAUGGGGCUGUGUUCCUGGCAGUCCCCUGGGCUUCCUGCAGGGACCUGGAUUCUUAGUAUUUCAGGCUGCUGUCCCUUUUUUUUUUUCAUUUCCUUUUUGUUUUUGUUGUUGAUGUGACCGCGUGUCCACAACCCUGGGAUUCCCUCGCCCUCAGAUUCCAGAAUCCAAUUUCUUGGAUUUCAGUGUUUUUAAGGAUUCCGUGAGUCAGGAGCUUGGCCAGGCUCAGCUGGGACACUCAUCUUUGCUUCACCUCAUGUCAGCUGCAGCAUCUUAGGAAUGCAAGACAGCCUCAUUCACAUCCGGCGGCGGGUGCUGGCUGUCCACUGGGUGCCUUCGCUCUUUUUCAAGUGGUUUCUCAUCCUCUGGGGUUUCACUGUCUCCAUGUGGCCUCCCUAGCAAGUUGCUUAGAUUUCUUUACGUGGAAACUGGCUUUCUAGAGGGUAAAAAUGGAAGCUGCAAGGACUCUUAUGGCCCAGAAGUCCCAGAACGUCACUUCUUCCACAAGUCAUAGGGCCAGCCAAGAUUCAAGGGGAAGGAAACAGACUCUGUCUCUUCAUAUUUCAAUGGGACAAAUUGUUGCAGCCACCUUUGGAAACAAUCUACUGCAAUACACUACAGCAGUGGACAUCUGGGCCCUUACCAGGUGCCAGACGCCGUACUAACAGCUUUAUACGGAUGAACUCAUUUAAUCCUCCCAAACUCCAUGAGGUUUUGCAGCCCUUGCCAUGAGUGGCCAGUUGCUGAUAGCAUUGCUGCUGCCUGUUGCUAUUCUGGGAUAGGAACUGAGGAUGUGCUGUGAUUACCCAGACCAGAAGGAAGCUCAGAAGGCACUGGUCCUCUCAGGUGGCACCCAGAUCCAGUGUGAGCCAUGGGGGAUGAAGGGUGGUUAAGUGAAAAGCUUUGGAGUGCUGACAGGUGGUCCCCCUGAUAUGCCAGGAAAUUACUUCCGGGCAAGAGAAACAAAGGAGAGUCCAUCUUCUAAUGUUACUGGCGCCAUACCAACAAGGUGUCAGCUAGAAACCUCUCUCUCUCUCUUGCAAAUUCUAGCCUGCAAAACCUGAGGACUGGCCUCAGGCUAGUCAGAAAUUUGCCUGAAAACAUCAUUCCUUGGGGUGGUGGGACUUCUGGGUAAGCCAGUGUGACUUGAAUUCUUGAUUUCUUAUACUCCCUUCUAACCAACCACCUGAAUGCUGAUCUCUACUAGCUGUCUGUGUGCCUUGCAUUUCAAUCAGCAGCCUUACAAAUGAUGAUGAGGAGAAGGAGGAGGAUGAGGACGAUAGCCAACAUUUACUGUUCUUUUGCUACUGUCCUAAGUACUUUACAAAUACCAGAUAAUUUUUUCUUCAUAACACUGUCAUUACUCCCAUUUUACAGAUGAAGAAAACAAAGCUUAAAUAGAUCACAUGAUUUGGUCAAGGUCACUCAUGUCACAGAGCCUGAAUCCAAAUCCAGUGAAGCCUCCAGAGCCUAGUUUCUACCCAUGACCCUGUGUUGCCUAUUGAUGGUACAGUGUAGGUUUUUUCCUUCUUCCUUUUUCUUUUUUUGAAAGUCUUUAUUGAAUUAUAAUUGGCAUACCAUUAACUGCAAAUAUUUGAAAAAUACAAUUUUAUGAGCUCUGACAUACAUACACCCAUAAAACCAUUGUUACAAUCAAGAUAAUGAAUAUGUCCGUCAUUCCCCAAAAGCUUCCCUGUGCCCCUUGGUAAUCCACCCCUCACUCCCCACCCCAUUCUGUUCCUAGGCAACCAAUCAUCUGUUUUCUGUCAGAUUAAUUUGCAUUUUCUAGAGUUUUAUAUAUGGAAGCAGACAGCAUGUACUCUUUUUUUGUCUGGCUUCUUUCACUCAGCAUAAUUAUUUUUAGGUUCAUCUAUAUUGGUGCACGUAUCAACAAUUCAUUCUUUUCUAUUCCUGAGUACUAUUCCAUUAUAUAGGUGUACUAAAUUUGUUUAUUCAACUCUUGAUGGACAUUGAGUUGUUUACAGUUUUUGGCUAUUACAAAUAAAGCUGCU